UAGGGAAUCUUCGGCAAUGGGGGCAACCCUGACCGAGCAACGCCGCGUGAGUGAAGAAGGUCUUCGGAUCGUAAAGCUCUGUUGUAGGAGAAGAACGUGUGUGAGAGUGGAAAGUUCACACAGUGACGGUAACUUACCAGAAAGGGACGGCUAACUACGUGCCAG
rnacentral:rRNA from 1 species